rnacentral:lncRNA from 1 species
UCUUUCUUCUAAGGUAACUAGUCAGUAGUCACUUUGCUUUGUGGUUCAACAGCAUCUCUCGAAGCCCAACCGGGUCGAUCUCGUCCGCACGAUUGGCGGGCCUAUAGUAUCCAGUUCUCGGAUCCGGGGCCCACGCAGAUGAAGGAGCUCCGAGUCCAGACUCCUCCUUCAUCGCUUUCGCAACCCGCUCCUCCACCAUAGCAUUCCUGGACCCUCCCCUACCGAAUCCAGCUGCCACCGAACCAUGUGAUGCUGCAGCGUAACCCCGCC